GCAUAACAAAAAAAAUCUGCUUGUACUUCCACAGUACUGCCAUGGUAGAUACAUCCACCUAGGAACCCUUUUGGCUGCUUUGUGUUCCUUGACUCAGCUCCAUGCUAGAAUGCAUCAAACCAAUUGCAGCCCUCUGUGUUACCUGAAAAUCUGCUCCAGAGGAUUCUCCAGCUGUCUGGUACACAUUUGGGAAACAUACAGAAGUCUGCAGCGAGGAGGGGAAAUUGUCCCCUCCUGAUUCUGCUGAUGGAAGCAGUUUGGUCAAUAAACCAACUGCACAGAAGCCUAACUUAAAUCUGCAAGAUGCAAAUCUCUUUCUGUACAGUAAUGCCAGUCAUGCCCAAUGGAAACAGAGGAGAUUGUGGAACUUAACCUGGAACAGUAUGGACUGCUAAUAUACUGCAACAUGCUGCAAGUUCAUUAAUAAAAAUGAUACCACA